rnacentral:rRNA from 1 species
AACGAACGCUGGCGGCAGGCUUAACACAUGCAAGUCGAGCGCCCCGCAAGGGGAGCGGCAGACGGGUGAGUAACGCGUGGGAAUCUACCGUACCCUACGGAACAACAGUUGGAAACGACUGCUAAUACCGUAUACGCCCUACGGGGGAAAGAUUUAUCGGGGUAUGAUGAGCCCGCGUUGGAUUAGCUAGUUGGUGGGGU